UACGUAGGGUGCAAGCGUUGCCCGGAUUUAUUGGGCGUAAAGGGCGCGUAGGCGGCUCGGCACGUCCGUUGUGAAAUCGCCCGGCUCAACUGGGCGGGGUCAGCGGAUACGGUCGAGCUUGAGCAAGCUAGGGGGCAAUGGAAUUCCCGGUGUAGUGGUGGAAUGCGUAGAUAUCGGGAGGAACACCAGUGGCGAAGGCGGUCGCCUGGGGCUUUGCUGACGCUGAUGCGCGAAAGCGUGGGGAGCGAUCCGG
rnacentral:rRNA from 1 species